CCCCGUGCACCUUUACUACAGCUUUGCAGUGGUAUCAGGAUGUGAAUGUGCAGAAUAGGUGGGAGGCUUUGAAGCCAUGGCGCCAGCCAUGGUGGAGCCACCUUUGAGAUACCACCCUUUUGCUUCCUGAUAUCUAACCGAGGUCCGUUAUCCGGAUCCGGGACCCUGCAUGGCGGGUAGUUUGACUGGGGCGGGCGCCUCCUAAAUAGU
rnacentral:rRNA from 13 species